ensembl:snoRNA
CCGCAUGUUUUGGCCCUGGGCCGUUGUUGUUGUCCUCUCCAUCUCUGUAGAGUGGACAAAACACAAACAUGCCAGAUUAAUAGUGAAAACAUUUGGAGUUAUCAGGGCCACCAGUCCUUCAAGGUCAGACUGAGUUGGUAGUAUAAUACUCCGACACGA